AUGACAUGAAAGCUGCAAAACAGCUCAAAGUUCCCACAUGGGGUCUUGGAGUCAGUCAGGUCUAGGCUCGCAUCUGCCUGCAUCUGAGUGGCUGUGAGCCGCUGAGCAAACUGCUUAACCUCUCUGAGCCUGUUCUUCUACCUCGUAAAUGGGGGAACACAACAGUGCUUUGGCUUCACAGGAUUAUUUGAAGAAUCAAAUACUGUAUGAAAGUGACACUUACAGUGCCUGGCAUAGCUGAUGUUAUAUUAUGGUAUUUCAACUCAAGCAAAGAAAAAACUUUCUAGCCAAAUAUGCAAUAGCUGCCUCAGGACACGCUGAGUGCCUCCUCGACGCAGGGGUUCGGACUGAGGAGCCAUUCUAUGGGAACCCUGGAGAAGGGGGUCCAGCAUGGGUGGAGGGCUGGGGUGACCUUACAAGACCCUGAGAGUCUGCCUUUUGGCACUGUCACUGUCAUCACUCUCCAGUUAUACCAGCAACAAUUUGCAGCUCCCAGACAACAGUCAUACACAUCAUCGCAUGUGUUCCCCAAAUAAUUCCCACCUCACAGGUGAAAAGCUGAAGGUGACAGAAGGCAUUGACAGCCAUGCAGACUCCCCUGCAGGACUGGGCAGAAUGGAUCCAAAACCUCCUGAAAUGGCCAUAAGACAUAACUUUCUCCAGGACUUAUCAUUUCUCAGCCAAGACAGUGGAGGCCUUACAUCACUGGCUCAAGUCCAGUUUCUCCUUGUUUGUGGCAUACUGGACACAGCAGGGUAGUGUCAGCCUCUCAGAGAAGGUCCAUGCAUCAUGUAGGUGCUCUGUAAUCCACUCCACCCUCCCUCAAGCAUGACUGGAGCUGUUGCGACCCGUUCACCAUGAUGUACAGGGCUUCUGCUGGUAUCUUUUUGUAUUUUGUGUUAUGCAUAUAUGUAUGUAUUCAUAUACAUUUGAUUACUUUGGGCAAAUUAUAUAUAAUAAAUAAUAAAGUCAGGUACAUGUAUAUUUGAUUAUUUUGUGUUCUCAAAAUUACAUUAUUAUUUGAGAAGUUGUAACAUCUGAAGCAAAUAUGGCAAAAUAUUAUUCUCUGAUAACUAUGGACAGUAGAUACACUGGGCUGUGUUUAUAAUCUUUUCUGAAGUUUUCUAUAUAUUUUUGUUUGGUUUUGUUUUUGUUGUUUUGAGUUUUCUAUAUAUUUUAUAAAUACUGCUUGCUAACCAGUUGCACCACUGGAGCUUCGGAGUGUUCUAUAUAUUUUAAUACUGAAAAAUUAAACACAAUUUAAAUGAA